rnacentral:rRNA from 1 species
GGAGUUAGCCGGUGCUUCUUCUGUGAGUGAUGUCCUUCCUGCCGGCUAUUAACCCGCAGGCCUUCUUCCUCACUGAAAGUGCUUUACAACCCGAAGGCCUUCUUCACACACGCGGCAUGGCUGGAUCAGGGUUGCCCCCAUUGUCCAAUAUUCCCCACUGCUGCCUCCCGUAGGAGUCUGGGCCGUGUCUCAGUCCCAGUGUGGCUGAUCAUCCUCUCAGACCAGCUACGGAUCGUCGCCUUGGUGAGCCGUUACCUCACCAACCAGCUAAUCCGACAUAGGCUCAUCCGAUAGCGCGAGGCCCGAAGGUCCCCCGCUUUCCCCCGUAGGGCGUAUGCGGUAUUAGCCUGGGUUUCCCCAGGUUAUCCCCCACUACCGGGCAGAUUCCUAUGCAUUACUCACCCGUCCGCCGCUCGCCACCAGGGAGCAAGCUCCCCGUGCUGCCGCUCGACUUGCAUGUGUUAGGCCUGCCGCCAGCGUUCAAUCUGAACCAGAUCAAAUUCUGA